rnacentral:rRNA from 1 species
UCUUGGAAGCCCUAGAGAAGGGCGUUCCCCUUCGGGGAAGAGUGACAGGUGGUGCAUGGUUGUCGUCAGCUCGUGUCGUGAGAUGUUGGGUUAAGUCCCGCAACGAGCGCAACCCUUGAUCUUAGUUGCCAGCAUUCAGUUGGGCACUCUAAGGUGACUGCCGGUGACAAACCGGAGGAAGGUGGGGAUGACGUCAAAUCAUCAUGCCCCUUAUGACCUGGGCUACACACGUGCUACAAUGGAUGGAACAAAGGGUCGCGAAGCCGCGAGGUCGAGCCAAUCCCAUAAAUCCAUUCUCAGUUCGGAUUGCAGGCUGCAACUCGCCUGCAUGAAGCCGGAAUCGCUAGUAAUCGCGGAUCAGCAUGCCGCGGUGAAUACGUUCCCGGGCCUUGUACCACCCGCCCCGUAAA